rnacentral:misc_RNA from 1 species
AAAAAAAAAAAAAAAAACCAAAAGCGGUGGCCGUGGCAAGGAGAAGAAGCAGGCACACCAUACACGGUGUCGUUUUGCUGGGCGAUGCUUCGUGGCAAAGAGGAGUGACGUGUCGGUAAGUAACUACAUUUUGACAAUGACAAGGUACGCGGUCUGUGCAACUCGCUGGUUUGUUACAGAAUAUUUAUGGCGGUCUGACACUUAUCUCUACAGAUUUCAAUUUUGUAAAAUAUGUUAUUCGGUUUCGACUCAAUUGCAAGGCUUAUUUUAAUAUUCUUUAAACUUUUAUAAGUUUUUUUAAUUUUAAUUUUAUUAAAUAAUAAUCUUUCUGAUCAAAUUGUG